UGCGACUUCUAGGGCCCGAAAGCUGGGGAGGAUGAGAGACCAGGGGCCUUUCGUCGUCCUCUGGGGCUGGGCAGAGGCUCAGCCUGUGCCGCAACCCUAAGCGGCUUCUGGCAAGUCCGAGCCGCGGUCCCUUUAAGAGGGGGUGGAGCUUCAACCUGGCACUAGGGAUGCUGCCAGCGUGCGUGUCCCUACGGAGCUGAGACUGCACUUCCUGCGACGCCCCUGCAGCAGCAGCAGCGUGGUCAGAGCGAGCUUCUGAGAAGCGGUGGUGGGUUCCAUGUGAUGGUGGAGUAGGAGACGGGUCUCCGCGGUUCAUCUGCGUUGCUCUAAAUGGGACUGUUUCAUUAUUUUGAUGGCUGAAGAAUAUUUCCUAGUGUAUGUAUAUGAGAGUUUCUUGAUCUCUUUAUCUGUGGAUGAACAGGUAGGUUGAAUUUAUA
rnacentral:lncRNA from 1 species